rfam:Lepisosteus oculatus linkage group LG3, whole genome shotgun sequence.
GUUUCCAUAGUGUAGCGAUUAUCACGUUUGCCUAACACGCAAAAGUUCCCCGGUUUGAGACUGGGUGGAAACA